rnacentral:rRNA from 1 species
UACGUAGGGGGCAAGCGUUGUCCGGAUUUAUUGGGCGUAAAGAGCUUGUAGGCGGUUUGUCGCGUCUGCUGUGAAAAUCCGGGGCUCAACCCCGGACUUGCAGUGGGUACGGGCAGGCUAGAGUGUGGUAGGGGAGACUGGAAUUCCUGGUGUAGCGGUGAAAUGCGCAGAUAUCAGGAGGAACACCAAUGGCGAAGGCAGCACUCUGGGACGGUACUGACGCUGAGACGCGAAAGCGUGGGGAGCAAACAGG